UAACAAGGCAUUGUGUUGUAGGAAGUAGAAUAGCUACACAAUACAAACUUCUCUCACUUGUUACAGCUGCUUGGACUGAAAGUUACCUGGUGCUGGGUACUGUGGGGUGGUUUAAGGUUGCCUCCCCUGACCCAGGCAAGGUCAAGCAGCAGGAAGUCAGGGAAUUCAGCAACUUCUUUCAGGCCAUUGACACCUAUUCCAGCAGCCCAUUGAAGUAUCCCAUUUGCAAGUACUGUAUCAUACUGUAUUCCCUUUCUGUCCUUUAGGAAAGAGGCAGCAGAACAGCGAGGGCAGGCAACCACCAGUCAUUCAGGUUCAUUCACUCAUCUGGUUUUAAGUAAUUUGCACUGCUUUAGAUAUGCCCACGUGCUGCACAUUUUGUAUUUCACUCCAGUCCCCACUGAGUUGCUGACAAUUGCCUUCAAUCAAAGCACUUGUGGAUGUCUCAUACAACCUUUUACUUCCAUUUUUGAAUCUGUACUUUGAUUUCACAUUAAAAGACUUUCUUCAAUAUACAUGUAAGGUAUAUUGAUCCCAGGCUACACAAAAAAUAAGCGGCUAUAUUUUUAUUAAAAGAUAUAACAGUUAUUUGAUUCAGAAAAUGCUAUCUGGGUCAUGAGCUGGGUUAAGUUCUUAUCUGUAGUGUCUUUAACCCUGUGGGGACACCAUGCAGUGAGUCAGAGAAUGAACAAAUCUGAACCCCAGUAAAUGAAGUCCUACAUAGAGAUGUAAACCAAAUAGAGACAGUUACUUGCCCCUCUCGUUUGCUCUCCUCUCACAAUUAAAUGAAAUUCUCACUGUAUCAAGUGAUACUUAUUUCCUAAGCAAUUUAUCACACUCAGUUUCUGUACAGUACUGAUGAUUUCACCUGUUUU
rnacentral:lncRNA from 1 species